rnacentral:rRNA from 1 species
GACGAACGCUGGCGGCGUGCUUAACACAUGCUAGUCGAACGAUGAAGCUGGAGCUUGCUCCGGUGGAUUAGUGGCGAACGGGUGAGUAACACGUGAGCAAUCUGCCCUUGACUUUGGGAUAACUGCGGGAAACUGUAGCUAAUACCGGAUACGAGGCUCGAAGGCAUCUUCGGGUCUGGAAAGAAUUUCGGUCAAGGAUGAGCUCGCGGCCUAUCAGCUUGUUGGUGAGGUAAUGGCUCACCAAGGCGACGACGGGUAGCCGGCCUGAGAGGGUGACCGGCCACACUGGGACUGAGACACGGCCCAGACUCCUACGGGAGGCAGCAGUGGGGAAUAUUGCACAAUGGGCGAAAGCCUGAUGCAGCAACGCCGCGUGAGGGAUGAAGGCCUUCGGGUUGUAAACCUCUUUUAGCAGCGAAGAAGCGAAAGUGACGGUACCUGCAGAAAAAGCACCGGCUAACUACGUGCCAGCAGCCGCGGUAA